rnacentral:rRNA from 1 species
AGACAGCAGUCGCCGCGGUAAUACAGAGGGUGCUAGCGUUAAUCGGAUUUACUGGGCGUAAAGCGUGCGUAGGCGGCUUCUUAAGUCGGAUGUGAAAUCCCUGAGCUUAACUUAGGAAUUGCAUUCGAUACUGGGAAGCUAGAGUAUGGGAGAGGAUGGUAGAAUUCCAGGUGUAGCGGUGAAAUGCGUAGAGAUCUGGAGGAAUACCGAUGGCGAAGGCAGCCAUCUGGCCUAAUACUGACGCUGAGGUACGAAAGCAUGGGGAGCAAACAGGAUUAGAUACCCGAGUAGUCCCUGUCUCUUAUAC